rnacentral:RNase_MRP_RNA from 14 species
UGCAGGCUCUGGGGAAAGUCUCCUGACGAGGCGGAGAAACUGC